rnacentral:lncRNA from 1 species
AUUCACAAUUUCUCAGCUAUCUUUCUGUUACUGAUUUCUAGUUUAUUCCACGUUGGUCUGAGAACAUAUGUUGUGUGGUUUCUGGUCUUUCAAAUUUAAGGUGUAUUUUAUGCCGCAGAAUAUGGUUCAUCUUUGUGUAUUUUGAACUUGAGUUUGAAAAGAAUGUGUAUUCUGUUGUUAUUGGAUAAAGUAAUCUAUGGAUGUUAAUUAUAUGCAGUUGAUUGAUGGUGCUGAUGAGUUCAACUGUGUCCUUACUGAUUUUCUGUCUGAUGAAUCUGUUCAUUUCUCAUAGAGAGGUGGUUGCAACCUCCAACUAUAAUCAGAGAUUCACCUGUUUCUCCUUAGAGUUUUUACCUCAUGUAGUUUGACACUCAUACAUUAAGGAUUCUCAUAUUUUCUUGGGAAAUUGACUCUUUUAUAAUGAUGUAAACCUUUAUCUAUCCCUGAUUCUUUUUCUUGCUCUGAAUUCUGCUCUAUCUGAAAUUAAUGUAGUUACUUUAGCUUUCAUUUCAUUAGCACGUAAUAUGUUAUAUGUUAGCAUGGUACAUCUUUUUCAAUUCCUUUGCUUUUAAUUUAUUUGUGUCUUUAUAUUUAAAGCAGGUGUCUUAUAGAUGAUAUAUAGUUGGGCUUUGUGUUUUGAUCCCCACUGAUAAUCUCUGUCUUUUAACAGAUCAUUUUAAUUGACCAUUGAUGUUUAAAGUGAUUAUUGAUAUAGCUGGAUUAGUAUCUACUACAUUUAUUACUGUUUUCUAUUUGUUGCCCUUGUUCUUUAUUUUUAUAUUUGCCUUCCACUCCUUUUUGCAUUUUGUGAUUUUAAUUGAUCAUUUCAUAUGAUUCUAUUUUUUUUCCUUCUUAUUAAAAAAAAAACCUUCUUAAGUGGUUGCCCUAGAAUUUGGUAUAUAUGUUUAUAGCUAAUCUAAGUCCACUUUUAAAUGAUGUUAUAUUGUUUCACACAGGUAGUAUAAGUACCUUAGAUUAUAAUAAAAUAUUCCUAAUUCCUUGGAGUUCUCAUUGUGGCUUAGCGGGUUAAGAACCCAACAUAGUAUCCAUGAGGAUACAGGUUCAAUCCCUGGUCUCAUUCAGUAGGUUAAGUGUCUGGUGUUGCCACAAGCUAUGGUGUAGGUCACAGACACAGCUCAGAUCUGGUGUUGCUGUGGCUGUGGUAUAGACCGAUUCGACCCCUAGCCUGGGAACUCCUAUAUACCAGUGAUGCAGCCAUAAAAACAAAGAAAAUAAAAUAGAAUAAUUCCUAAUUCUUUCCUUUGGCACCCUCACUUUUGGGGUUUGGCUAAGUCUACCUCAAUCUAAGCUGCUUUGGUUAUUUAUCAGAUGUACAAUGCUAAUAUUUAUUUCAGGUUAUCAGAAUUUUGUUCAUUUUCCAAGUAUAUGCUCAUUAAAAAAAGUAUGGAACUUCUUGAGUCUUAUAGUUAUCUCUUCAUGCUUAUUUAAGAUUUUCUCCCAACAUUGUCUGUUAAAAAUAAUCUUUGUUUAGCCCUCUUAGACAUAUCUUUGUCUCUUAAAUGAGAAGCAAUUGUGUACAUGUCAGGUGUGUCUUUGAGUUCUAUUACUACUUAGAAGGGAGGUAAUUUUUGCCACAGGAAGUGUUUCAUCGGGAAGCAGAUGUGCUCCAGUGAUAGGAGAUGGGAAGGGGAUGUUUUGUUAUUAAUUACUUAGCUUCAUAUAAACAAGAACUUUGUAUUUUUGAAAGAUGUCUUCUUGUGGUUUAUAGAAAUUAAUCCUGUUUUUAAAGCUUUUCAUGAGUUGAUCUAAGAUGUAUGUACUCUCUUAUUCUAGUAACAGAACUCCAGAACUUUUUGUUAAUUGUAGCAUAUGUCAUGUCUUCUGUUACAGAAGAGCACGUGGGAUUUAUAGGAUAGAAUUUCAAUGUAGAUAGAAUAGGUGCAUCUUAAGAUAGGAAGUGGUGGCAGACUAGUAUUUGUAAACUGAGAAAGCUCAAGUUUUGCCUUUUCAUCUGUACUUGCCUCCAUAGUUGACAUAAACCUAAAAAGCCAUUUUAAUGAGAAAUUGAUAUCCUGUUUUAACCUGUAAAAAAGAAAGAUUUUUAGCAUUUAUACUAAAUAACACUAGAAUAUCUGGAUUUAAUGUCACACUUUGUGCUCUGUAAGCCUAAAGUUCUCAAAUGUGUUCUGUGGGUUGUAAUUUGGAAAAUGCCAGUUUAAAGAGGUUAUGGAAUCCUAAAGCGAAUUAGAAUACUCUUGUGUUCUUUUUUAUUUGUUUUGUUUUUUACUGUUAACUAAGUAGUGAUGGACAAGUUCUUCUCUCUGGCCAUGAGUAUAGGAAAGAGUUGGGUAAUUUAAUCUGUGAUGAUUUGUUCAGUUCUCUAUUCCCUAAUUCUGAUUCUCUGAGUUAAUGUUAAAGCUUUCAUUUUUGCUGUGGGUAGAUUUAAAAAUAAACUUUCUGCAUUGAAAAGGAAUAAAAAUACAUACCCAUUGUAAAAUUUCAUAUAUUACAGAAAUUAAUAGUCUAAAAAUUAAAAUCUCCUGUAGCAACAAAAAUAACAAUGGAUUUUAUUGUUGCUAAAAAAGAAAAACAUUUGGGAGUUCUUGUCGUUGCUCAGUGGUUAACGAAUCUGACUAGGAACCAUGAGGUUGCGGGUUCGAUCCCUGGCCUUGCCCGUUGGGUUAAGGAUCCAACAUUGCUGGGAGCUGUGGUGUAGGUCACGGAUGCGGCUUGGAUCCCUUGUUGCUGUGGCUCUGGCAUAGUCCAGCAGCUGCAGCUCUGAUUCGACCCCUAGCCUGGGAACCUACGUAUGCCGCCGGAGCGGCCCUAGAAAAGGCAUAAAGACAAAAAAAAAAAAAAAAAAAA